AACGAACGUUAGCGGCGCGCCUAACACAUGCAAGUCGAGCGAGAAAGGGGCAACCCCGGUAAAGCGGCGCACGGGUGAGUAACACGUAGGUAAUCUACCCUCGGGUGGAGGAUAACUUUCCGAAAGGAAGGCUAAUACUGCAUGAGACCACGGUUCCGGAAGGGAUUGAGGUCAAAGCCGGCCACUGUACACAAGCUGGCGCCUGAGGAUGAGCCUGCGGCCCAUCAGCUAGUUGGUAGGGUAAUGGCCUACCAAGGCGAAGACGGGUAGCUGGUCUGAGAGGAUGAUCAGCCACACUGGAACUGAGACACGGUCCAGACUCCUACGGAGGCAGCAGUGGGGAAUCUUGCGCAAUGGGCGAAAGCCUGACGCAGCGACGCCGCGUGAGUGAUGAAGGCCUUC
rnacentral:rRNA from 1 species